rnacentral:rRNA from 1 species
AUUGAACGCUGGCGGCAUGCUUUACACAUGCAAGUCGAACGGUAACACGCCGCAAUUUGCUGAUGAGUGUCGGACGGGGAAGUAAGGCAAAGGAACAGGCCAAGUCGCUAUGGGUAACUACUCGCAAGAGUAACUAAGAGCUCAUACCGGCUAUUAUUUAGAACGGGGUACUUCAAGACUUCACGAUGGUUGAGCGGUCGCUUAUAGAUGGAGUGGUGCGAGAUUAGCUAGUUGGUCAGGUAACGGCUUACCAAGGCAACGAUAUGUAGCAGGCCUGAGAGGACGAUCAGCCACACUGGGACUGAGACACGGCCCAGACUCCUACGGGAGGCAGCAGUGGGGAAUCUUGGACAAUGGGCGCAAGCCUGAUGCAGCAACGCCGCGUGCAGGAAGAAGGUCUUCGGGUUGUAAACUGCUUUUGUAAGGAACGAAAAGGCUCUGGUUAAUCCCCGGGGGUAAUGACGGUACCGUAAGAAUAAGCCCCGGCUAACUACGUG